UGGGGGAAUCUUCCGCAAUGGACGAAAGUCUGACGGAGCAACGCCGCGUGAACGAUGACGGCCUUCGGGUUGUAAAGUUCUGUUAUACGGGACGAAUGGCGUAGCGAUCAAUACCCGUUACGAGUGACGGUACCGUAAGAGAAAGCCACGGCUAACUACGUGCCAGCAGCCGCGGUAAUACGUAGGUGGCAAGCGUUGUCCGGAAUUAUUGGGCGUAAAGGGCGCGCAGGCGGCGUCGUAAGUCGGUCUUAAAAGUGCGGGGCUUAACCCCGUGAGGGGACCGAAACUGCGAUGCUAGAGU
rnacentral:rRNA from 1 species